AUUGAACGCUGGCGGCAGGCCUAACACAUGCAAGUCGAACGGUAACAGGAAGAAGCUUGCUUCUUUGCUGACGAGUGGCGGACGGGUGAGUCAUGUCUGGGAAACUGCCUGAUGGAGGGGGAUAACUACUGGAAACGGUAGCUAAUACCGCAUAACGUCGCAAGACCAAAGAGGGGGACCUUCGGGCCCCUUGCCAUCGGAUGUGCCCAGAUGGGAUUAGCUAGUAGGUGGGGUAACGGCUCACCUAGGCGACGAUCCCUAGCUGGUCUGAGAGGAUGACCAGCCACACUGGAACUGAGACACGGUCCAGACUCCUACGGGAGGCAGCAGUGGGGAAUAUUGCACAAUGGGCGCAAGCCUGAUGCAGCCAUGCCGCGUGUAUGAAGAAGGCCUUCGGGUUGUAAAGUACUUUCAGCGGGGAGGAAGGGAGUAAAGUUAAUACCUUUGCUCAUUGACGUUACCCGCAGAAGAAGCACCGGCUAACUCCGUG
rnacentral:rRNA from 1 species